UUUAGUUUAAAAGGUAGCGGAAAAGCGUCUGAAAUUUUUUUUUUCAAAAUCUAACCCCAGAGUGUGCCAGAUCCGCCACAAAUACAGAAGUUCCACUGUUCACACGGGCAGAGUCUCCCCUGUAUUUGCACGGCGUCGCACAAGUACAAGAGUUUAAUCAUCCAACAACCACAACCAGAUGAAUAUACAAACAACCACAGAUGUACAUUCAUACACCAUUCACCACAGAUUCACAAUAAUACAUUCGCUAAUUAAAUAUAAGUCCACAACUAUCAGUUAAAACGUUUCCAACCACAGAAACGGGUUUUGAAAUACUAAGAUACAAAAUCCACAGAAACCUUUUGAAAACUGCUCCCUACACAGGAACUUUUAACUUUUCAAAACGCUACCACGAGGGGUAGAAAACCAUUUCCAUUUCAAGAAAACACAAAUUCUUUUAUUACAUUCCAAAACCAACUGAAAACUCAGAUAUCCAAAUAGUAAAAUAAAACUGAACCAUAAUAUGUCUAA
rnacentral:lncRNA from 1 species